UACGAAGGGGGCUAGCGUUGCUCGGAAUCAUUGGGCGUAAAGCGCACGUAGGCGGUCUGUUAUGUCGGUGGUGAAAGCCCCGGGCUUAACCUGGGAAUGGCCAUGGAAACUGGCGAACUGGAGUGUGGCAGAGGGGGGUGGAAUUCCGCGUGUAGCAGUGAAAUGCGUAGAGAUGCGGAGGAACACCGAUGGCGAAGGCAGCCCCCUGGGCUAACACUGACGCUCAGGCACGAAAGCGUGGGGAGCAAACAGG
rnacentral:rRNA from 1 species